GCAGAGUGGUCUAGGAUUUCCCACAUUCCAAAUAUCUAUUUUAAUGAAUGUAUUAAACAAGAAGCUGUCUGAAGAUCAUGUACAUUAUUAAGAUGGAUGACCAUAAGUGGAAAGCCACCUAUUAUUCUUACAUGAGCUGUACAUUUGCAAGAAGCCGCAAUAUCUGCUUAUGGUGUAACUGGCUCAUUGCAAUAUCUACUUAUGGUUAAUGAUUGCGUGGGAGUCCUACAUUCAACUUUCUCCCGAACGAAAUUCAACUCUUCACUGCCCUUGAAUAGCCGUGGAUAAAGAAAUUUAACAGAAUGAAAGCUUUGCCUGAUUGGUUGGACAAUCUUUCUUCCCUUCAAAAGCUAGCUCUUCGCUACUGCAACAACCUGAUGUAUCUUCCCAUGUUCCACCUCACCAAAUCAAAACACCUGCACAUUGCUGAUUGCUCCAACUUAGAGAAACGAUGUGCAGAGGGGAGUGGCGAAGAGUGGUUUCAGAUUUCCCAUAUUCCAAACAUCAAAAUCAAUGGAAAAUACAUCUAAGGGAAGGAUUCUGAGGACUCUGAAGACUUUGACAUCUUUGACAACUCUGACUGAAGAAUUUGACGACUUCGACGACUAUGAUGAUGAUAGAGA